CGGACGUGAGUUCUUACUCCUGUGUUAAUUACCUCUGCUGCUGCUGGUCCGCUCUUGGCACCGUCUGGAUCCUGGACGGCGAUCCUCCGUGUACCUGCCAAACCCCACUGAAGAUGGCAUAGAAGCAAGUUUAAAAGGGUUGACAACGCGUUUCGAGGGGGUCUGCACCCCUCUUCCUCAGGUCAGGACGCCGGGUACAGACAGACAUGGGCUGCUGCUGCUUCUUCUUCUGCCUUAAGGCUGACUACAGUGUUGUGCCUGGAGCACAACACACCCAGUGUGCACUUUGGACCAAUGACCUAGUGCGAGCUACCUCAGCCCCGCACAGCAGCCAGAUAAUGGUGUCACGGGCACAGCCCCAGCCAGAAACAGCCGUAGCAACACGGAGCGCCAAUUACGUGUGUCAGAGGCAGAGACUAUCCAGAGAGCGGAGACAGAGGAUCCAUUUAAUGAGUCCAGAAAUAAUAGUGACCUUUUCAACCCAAAGUCGUCCAAAAGAUUACCUCAUCCCGUAAUGUACUGGCAAAACACACUACAAUAAAGGAGUAUGUUUAAUGUACACAGCUGGUUCGGGAAUAACUUUUGUAUUAUGGGAGC